GCCGCCCCGCCGCCCCGCCGCCCCGGCGCCGGCCCCUCUCACCCUUUCAUCCUCUGCCCGGGGCCUGACGCGGGCCGGCGGAUCCCCGGCCUCACAUCGGAGUGAGAGGCGCUGGCGAUGGACCGGGAGGCUCGGCUGCCGCUGCUGCUGCUCCCCCCUGGGCUCCGGCGGGAGCCUUUCCCGGUCAGGCAAGAGGGGCAAUGGGAAUCAAGCCUAUUAAGUGUUCCAGGAAGGCAGGAUACAGCUGUUGGUCUUGCACAGUGCCCACCGAGGCAGAGAUCACGGGAGAGGUUAAAUAGGACCGAAGCAUCUCUGACCACGGUCCUGGAAAUGAUUCUGAUUCUGUGAUGGUCUACCCAGGAAGAAAGGCUGCUUAUGCAUCCCCACAACAUGGCAGGCGGUGACCCGAGGGAGAGAACCAGACAACGCCCAACAUGGAAGCCACUUUCAAACACUCAGCGGGGGCGGGGGGCUCAGCGGUAUAGCGCCGCCUGCAGCCCAGGGCCCGAUCCUGGAGUCCCGGGAUGGAGUCCCACGACCGGCUCCCUGCAUGGGGCCUGCUCCUCCCUCUGCUUGUGUCUCUGCCUCUCUGUCUCUCAAGAAUAAAUAAAUAAAAUCUUUUAAAAAAAAUUUAAAAAUAAAAAUAAAAACUCAGCCGGGACAUCCCAGAUGAGUACAAGUGAGUCCGUUUAAGUCCAGCCCACACUCACGGAGGGGAUUACAGAAGGGCAUGGAUCCCAGGAGGCAGAGAUCACUGGGGCCAUCUUAGAAGCUGCCUACCACACCUAACACGCACACAAUUUGGUCUCCUAUUUUUAGUUUUCAUCAGUUUACAUGUUUUGUUUUGCCCCGUAUUCUUCAGCUAAGCUAUGUGUUUACAAAUUAUAAAAGCAAGGGCAUCUGGGUGGCUCAGUUGGUUAAGCGUCUGCCUUUGUCUUGGGUCACGAUCCCAGGGUCCUAGGAUGGAGCCGCGUGUGGGGCUCCCAGCUCGGCAGGGAGUGUGCUUCUCUCUUUGCCCCAAAUCCUACUCAUACUCUCUCCUUUUCUCAAAUAAAUAAAAUCUACAAAACAAUAAUAAAAGCAAAAUAUUUUUGCUGUAAAAACUCAAAUGUUCCAAUGGUAGAGAUGUAAAAUCCUUUUCUUUAUCCUCAUUAUAGAGAAACUACCCAGAGGUGUCUGCUGAAAUACAUUUCACACAUAAGUAAAUAUAUAUAUUUAUAUAUACAUAUAUUAACAUCUAUAUAUUUACAUCUAUAUAUUAAGAUACAUAUUAUUGCAUCUUAAUGGUUUUUGGGUUUGUUUUUGUUUUUGUUUGCAUCUUAAUGUUCUUUAUGUAUCUUGGAGCUCUUUCCAUAUCAGCAAGUGGAGAUCUAAAUCAUUCUAACAUUUGUAUAUUUUAUGAUUGUACCAAUAAUAUUUUAUGUCCUCCAUUAAUAGACAUUUUUUUGUUUUAGGGGAGCCUGGGUGGCUCAGUCAGUUAAGCAUCUGCCUUU